CUCAGCCUCCCAAAGUGCUGGGAUUACAGGCAUAAGCCACCAAGCCUGGCAUUUUUGUAUAUUUUGUAGAGACAGGGUUUCACCAUGUUUUCCAGGCUGGUUUUGAACUCCUGAUCUCAUGUGAUCCUCCUGCCUCAGCCUCUCAAAGUGCUGGGAUUACAAAGUGUGUGAGCCACUGUGCCAGGCCAGAACCUCUUGCUUUAACACCCUGCUUCAUCCUAGGUCUCUGGAUCUAGUUUCUGAUUUUCUUUUUUUUUUUUCGAGAUGGAGUUUUGCUCUUUUUGCCCAGGCUGGAGUGCAAUGGCACGGUCUAGGCUCACUGCAGCCUCCACCUCCUGGGUUGAAGUGAUUCUCCUGCCUCAGCCUCCCGAGUAGCUUGGAUUACAGGCGCCUGCCACCACGCCCAGCUCAUUUUUUUUUUUUGUAAUUUUAGUAGAGCAGGGUUUCACCAUGUUGGCCAGACUGGUCUCGAACUCCUGACCUCACCUGACCUCAGGUGAUUUGCCCGCCUCGGCCUCCCAAAGUAGUGGGAUUACAGGCGUGAGCCACCGCACCUGGCCUGAUUUUUUUCUUUUUUUCUUUUUUUGAGAUGGGGUCUCACUCUGUCACCCAGGCUGGUGUACAGUGGUGUGAUCAUAGCUCACUGCAACCCUGAACUCUUAGGCUCAAGCAGUCUUCUCAUCCCAGCCUCCCUAGUGGCUGUGCCUACAGCCAUGUGCCACCAAGCCAGGCUAAUUUUUAAUUUUUUUCCUGUAGAGAUGGGGUCUUGCUAUGUUGCCUGGGUUGGUCUCGAACUCCUGGGCUCAAGCUAUCCUCCCAUCUAGCUUCCUAAAGCAUUGGGAUUACAGGUUUGAGCCACAGCACCUGGCCUGCCCCAUCUCUUAAAAAAAAAAAAAAAUAGUGAGGUUGGUGGGGUGGGGCACCAGUAUGUUUUAAAGCUCUGAGGCAAUUCCAGUGUGCAAAGCUUGAGUACUGCUGUUCUCAGUCAAAUCCCUGCCAUGGAGUAGACAGACUCCUGGGAGUUGAUGCCUAACUGUCAUUAUUAAGAAGACACCAAAGCCAGCUGUGGUGGCUCAUGCCUGGCAUCCCAGCACUUUGGGAGGCCGAGGUGGGUGGAUCACCUAAGUUCAGGAGUUUGAGACCAGCCUGGCCAACAUGAUGAAACCCCCUCUCUACUAAAAAUAAAAAAAUUAGCAGAGCAUGAUGGCGGGUGCCUGUAAUCCCAGCUACUCAGGAGGCUGAGGCAUGAGAAUCGCUUGAACUGGGGAGGUGGAGGCUGCAGUGAGCCAAGAUUGCGCCACUGCGCUCCAGCCUGGGUGACAGAGCGAGACUGUCUCAAAAACAAACAAACAAACAAACAAAACUAUUUUAGUAAAAGAAAACUCAAAAUUGCCUUAUCUGAUUGUCCCUUUCACAGAAAUCCACCUAGAUAAAAUCAAAUGCCAUAAAGAGAAAGAUGUGAAUGGUCAUUAUUUUAUUUAUUAUUUAUUUAUUUAUUUUUGAGAUGGAGUUUUGCUGUUGUUGCCCAGGCUGGAGUGCAGUGGCUUGAUCUUGGCUCACCGCAACCUCCACCUCCCGGUUCAAGUGAUUCUCCUGCCUCCGCCUCUCGAGUAGCUGAGAUUACAGGCAUGAGCCACCAUGCCCAGCUAAUUUUUGUAUUUUCAGUAGAGACGGGGUUUCUCCAUGUUGGUCAGGCUGGUCUCCAACUCCCGACCUCAGGUUAUCUGCCUGCCUCGGCUCCCAAAGUGCUGGGAUUACAGGCAUGAGCCACUGUGCCCAGCCUGCGAAUGGUCAUUAUUUUUAUACCAAAUAAAUAUAGUAGCCACCAGUAAAUUCAUUAGUUAAAAAGGGUUUUCAGCUGGGCAUGGUGGUUCACGCCUGCAAUCCCAGCACUUUGGGAGGCCUAGGUGGGUGGAUUACGAGGUCGGGAGAUCAAGACCAUCCUGGCUAACACGGUGAAACCCCGUCUCUACUAAAAAUGCAAAAAAUUAGCCAGGCAUGGUGGCGGGCGCCUGUAGUCCCAGCUACUUGGGAGGCUGAAGGAGGAGAAUGGCGUGAACCCGGGAGGUGGAGGUUGCAGUGAGCCGAGAUUGUGCCACUUCACUCCAGCCUGGGUGACAGAAAUUCUGUCUUAAAAAAAAAAAAGGGUUUUCAAGGCCAGGUAAGGAGGUGGCUCACGCUUUCUAAUCUCGGGAAGCCGAGGUGGAAGGAUGGACUGAACCCAGAAGUUCGAGACUGGCCUGGGCAACAUAGUAAGACCCCGUCUCUACAAAAAAUUAAAAAUUUGGCCAGGUGUGGUGGCACUACCUGUGGUCUCAGCUACUUGGAAGGCUGAGGCAGGAGGGAGGAUCACUUGAGCCUGGGAGGUGGAAGCUGCAGUGAGCUGUGGUGGUAGCACUGCACUCCAGACUGGAUGACACAGCAAGACCCCGUCUCAAAAAAAAUUUUUUUCCAGACUCCCAUUUUAACAGACUGUUUCUGCCGGGUGCAGUGGCUCACGCCUGUAUUCACAACACUUUCGGAGGCCGAGGAGGGUGGAUCACUUAAGGUCAGGGGUUUGAGACCAGCCUGGCCAACAUGGUGAAAACCCGUCUCUACUAAAAAUACAAAAAUUAGCCUGGCAUGGUGGCUGGCGCCUGUAGUCCCAGUUACUCAGGAGGCUGAGGCAGGAGGAUCGCUUGAAUCCGGGAGGCAGAGGUUGCAAUGAGCUGAGAUCGUGCCACUGCACUCCAGCUUGUACGACAGAGCAAGACUCCAUCUCAAGAAUAUCCCCCAAAAACAACAAAAAACCUCAGACUGCUUCCCUGAAAUUCUUCUAAAGAAAAUGCCUGACAGGAAAUAACUUAAGGAUAUUGUGGGUUUUUAUUGUUGCUACUUCGAGAUGCAGUUGUAUCUCUAGAGACACAGUGGGGUCAGAUCAGAGAUGGGGUUCAUUCAGGGGCACCCCCAGAACUGGGAGAGUCCUCGGCUUCCACAUACCCGUUAUGGUGCUCCGUGGCCACCAGGGGGCAACAAUACGUCACUGUUCCAGCCCAGGGAGCGGCCAACCAGAGCUUGGACCUGGGGUGUCCCAGGAGCCACCUAGACCGGCUGGUUCCUUCCAUACAAAAGACCUCCAGGUGGGAUGGGGGAGAGACACCCCACAUUCGAGUGGGAGAAAAACAUGGAAAAGACACAGAGGCAACAUUAUAUUUCUUUCCACUUGUGUAAUUUAAGCUAAAGCCAAACAGCUAGAAAAUAUACUUUUUUUUUUUUUUUUUUUGGAGACAGUCUUGCUCUGUUGCUCAGGCUGGAGUGCAGUGAUAGGAUCAUAACUCACUGCAAGCUCCGCCUCCCGGGUUCAAGCCAUUCUCCUGCCUCAGCCUCCCAAGUAGCUGGGACUACAGGCACCCGCCACCACGCCUGGCUAAUUUUUG
rnacentral:lncRNA from 1 species